AUUUUAGCUGUGCCAAUCAGCCACAGUUCCCCUGCCUCACACGAACAAGGCCACUCUGAUUGCACCUAUAAGUCUUUCUUCCCAUACAAGUUCGGGGAAAGCUGAACAGAGUGGAAAAACCCGCAGCCGCUGCCAGCCCCUCACAGCCGCUGCCAGCCCCUCACAGCCGCCCACCCGCCCGGGACGCCUCGCGCGACCGCUCGCGAUGAACCCGCCAAAAGCGGCGGCGGCGCCCCCGACUGCCCGCAGCCCCAUCCCGCCCAACGUCCCCCGACGACGGGCCGGGAGAAGCGAGGACAAGCCCGGCGCAGGCCGGCGGAAAACCUAACCGCACCCGUCCUGCCGCCGCUGAUCUCAGCCCCAGUACCUGGAAUGCAGAAAAUAUCUGGGGGGAAAAAAAAAGUAUGAAAAAAAUCUUCCUGCAAGUUUGUAGAAAAGGAUUAUUCUUGAGAAAACAUUUACAGUUUCUCUGCAAUGGUUUUGGGAUCUCAAAAGCCAAGGUGCUGCAUCAUGAAUAGUGAAGUUCUGGUUCAUCCAGUGCUGAAUGCUGAUCACCACAUUCUCCCAUUAAAACUGAAAAGGAACAAAUAUCCUGAGAAAGGAGGCAUUCAAAGAUUUGUAGAAGUGAUGCAGCUUAUGAUGUGCUUCAGCAGAGUAAGUUAAUUUUAGUUAAUUUUCAGAGGCUAUCACUAAUAACUUAUUUUUUUUUUUACAGAAACAUUUUUAACUGUGUGCAAGCAGCACUUGUUCAGGUCUAAGAAACAGAAAAAAGGGAAUGUUAGCCUAGAGAGGAGGAAGUGGGCAUGUUGGAAUUCAGUGAAUUCCUGGAGUAUGUUGAAAUUUAGACAGUGAUUUUUAUCUUAAGUAUUAAGAUGCUGCAGGAUGGUUUUCUUGUUUGUUUUGGGUUUUUAACUAUCCGUGUCAGACAAAUCUGUAUGCAAAAUGAUGCUUUUUGUUUAUGGUGAUUUAUUCUUUGACAAAAAAAUAGUGUAUGAUUUUGAGCAUUGAUUUGAUUUUUGUUGUA